GCCUCUUUACCCUGUUCGCGCCGACCUCGCUCUUGCUCUUAACCUAACGUCUCUCUCUCCCUUUCUCUGUGGCUAUAGGCAUCGGAGCUGGGCUUCGAGCUUACAGUUUUAAUCUCCGUUCUCGUUGCUGGAAAUCACUAUCUGUAGAUAGCCAUAGAAAUGGGGGGCGCCGAAUGCUGCCGGAGAUUGGUCGUUGGAGAUGGAGGUCGAUGCUUUCAGACGCCUCUUCCCCGUUCACUACUAUGAGCGGCAUGUCUCUGAAUCCAUAUGCCCGAUGCUAAAACCCUGGAAAAAGCCAGAGAUACUAUUGUGUCCCUCAGGGCUGUUGCAUCCUCUGAUGGGUCUGCACUGGCAAAGAUUGGUUCCACCACAAUGUUGGCUGCUAUAAAAAUGGAAGUCAUGACUCCUUCUGUCGAUUCGCCUGAUGAAGGCAGUAUAGCGGUUGAGUUUCAUAUGCCCCCC